rnacentral:rRNA from 1 species
CCGUAGGUGAACCUGCGGAAGGAUCAUUAUUGA